rnacentral:rRNA from 1 species
CCCUUCGGGGUACACGAGCGGCGAACGGGUGAGUAACACGUGGGUGAUCUGCCUUGCACUCUGGGAUAAGCCUGGGAAACUGGGUCUAAUACCGGAUAUGAGCCUGAACUGCAUGGUUCGGGUUGGAAAGAUUUAUCGGUGCGAGAUGGGCCCGCGGCCUAUCAGCUUGUUGGUGAGGUAACGGCUCACCAAGGCGACGACGGGUAGCCGGCCUGAGAGGGCGACCGGCCACACUGGGACUGAGACACGGCCCAGACUCCUACGGGAGGCAGCAGUGGGGAAUAUUGCACAAUGGGCGAAAGCCUGAUGCAGCGACGCCGCGUGAGGGAUGACGGCCUUCGGGUUGUAAACCUCUUUCGACAGGGACGAAGCGCAAGUGACGGUACCUGUAGAAGAAGCACCGGCUAACUACGUGCCAGCAGCCGCGGUAAUACGUAGGGUGCGAGCGUUGUCCGGAAUUACUGGGCGUAAAGAGCUUGUAGGCGGUCUGUCACGUCGGUCGUGAAAACUCACAGCUCAACUGUGGGCCUGCGGUCGAUACGGGCAGACUAGAGUACUUCAGGGGAGACUGGAAUUCCUGGUGUAGCGGUGAAAUGCGCAGAUAUCAGGAGGAACACCGGUGGCGAAGGCGGGUCUCUGGGAAGUAACUGACGCUGAGAAGCGAAAGCGUGGGUAGCGAACAGGAUUAGAUACCCUGGUAGUCCACGCCGUAAACGGUGGGUACUAGGUGUGGGUUUCCUUCCACGGGAUCCGUGCCGUAGCUAACGCAUUAAGUACCCCGCCUGGGGAGUACGGCCGCAAGGCUAAAACUCAAAGGAAUUGACGGGGGCCCGCACAAGCGGCGGAGCAUGUGGAUUAAUUCGAUGCAACGCGAAGAACCUUACCUGGGUUUGACAUACACCGGAAAGCCGUAGAGAUACGGCCCCCCCUUG